CCUACGGGUGGCAGCAGUGGGGAAUAUUGCACAAUGGGGGAAACCCUGAUGCAGCGACGCCGCGUGAGUGAAGAAGUAUUUCGGUAUGUAAAGCUCUAUCAGCAGGGAAGAAAAUGACGGUACCUGACUAAGAAGCCCCGGCUAACUACGUGCCAGCAGCCGCGGUAAUACGUAGGGGGCAAGCGUUAUCCGGAUAUACUGGGUGGAAAGGGAGCGGGGGCGGCAAGGUAAGCCAGAAGGGGAGGCCCGCGGGUCAACUGCGGGACUGCUUUUGGAACUAGCUAGCUAAGUUGCAGGAGAGGUAAGUGGAAUUCCUAGUGGAGGGGUGAAAUGGGGAGAUAUUAGGAGGAACAACAGUGGGGGAGGCGGGUUACUGGACUGUAAAUG
rnacentral:rRNA from 1 species